CCUCCUUUGUUCAUCAGUGGGGAAUAUUGGACAAUGGGGGGAACCCUGAUCCAGCGACGCCGCGUGAGUGAAGAAGUAUUUCGGUAUGUAAAGCUCUAUCAGCAGGGAAGAAAAUGACGGUACCUGACUAAGAAGCCCCGGCUAACUACGUGCCAGCAGCCGCGGGAAUACGUAGGGGGCAAGCGUUAUCCGGAUUUACUGGGCGUAAAGGGAGCGUAGACGGUGCAGCAAGUCUGAUGUGAAAGGUCGGGGCCCAACCCCGGGACUGCAUUGGAGACUGUUGAACUGGAGUACAGGAGAGGUAAGCGGAAUUCCUGGUGUAGCGGUGAAAUGCGUAGAUAUUAGGAGGAACACCAGUGGCGAAGGCGGCUUACUGGACUGUAACUGACGUUGAGGCUCGAAAGCGUGGGGAGCAAACAGGAUUAGAUACCCGUGUAGUC
rnacentral:rRNA from 1 species